rnacentral:rRNA from 1 species
UCUAAGGAACUCGGCAAAAUAGCCCCGUAACUUCGGGAGAAGGGUUGCCCCCUCACAAAAGGGGGCCGCAGUGACCAGGCCCGGGCGACUGUUUACCAAAAACACAGGUCUCCGCAAAGUCGUAAGACCAUGUAUGGGGGCUAACGCCUGCCCAGUGCCGGAAGGUCAAGGAAGUUGGUGAACUGAUGACAGGGAAGCCUGCGACCGAAGCCCCGGUGAACGGCGGCCGUAACUAUAACGGUCCUAAGGUAGUGAAAUUCCUUGUAGGGUAAGUUCCGACCCGCACGAAAGGCGUGUUGGAAAUAUGCCCUAGA